UUGAAUUUGAAUUAUGAUAUGUGAUUCUCUAAUGUUUUUAUUUGUUAAGCUUAAGGUUAAAUUUGAUACUUUUUAUCAUUCACAAAAACAUAUGAGGUGCUGACUAAAGCGGUUUGUAAGAGAUGAAAAUGGUAUUCUAAAAGGACUUGAAGUGAUAGGCAUUCGCCGGGAGAAGGAUGAAACCGACAAGUUUCAGUUUAAGGAAAUCGAGGGCAGUGAGGAGAUAAUUGAGGCUUACCUAGUUUUACUUCCUAUGGGAGUCCUUGGCACUUAGUCGGGUUUUGGAAACUCACGCGUUGGUUGCUGUGGAUCUUAGGUCUUGAAAAUUAUUUGGUGGAUUCAAAGAUGAGAAUAGAAAAGCUAGGCAAAUUGGAUUUGAAGAUGCAAGCGAGGUCCCAGAGUUAUGCAUAAUUGCCCAAGAAUACCUACAUCCAAAGGCUGUGACCAAAACAUAUUUGAAUAUAUUACCAAUGAAAAGCAUUGGGUAUUGAGUAUCUCUUUCUUAUCUAAAUUUUAGUUAUUUAAUACUUCAGUCUCAGCAUACAAAAAAAUUAAAAGAAAUUCUAUUGGAAGCUACAAGGUAAUUUUCUCUUUUAUGAUUCCUUCAAAUAAUCUCAAUUUUGUUAUAUUAAAGUGAGAAUGACACUAAGUGUUGUACAUUUGUCAGGAAGUAUAGAUUUGAGAUUGUAACUAAGAACCUGAAGUUGACAAGAGUGUUCUCUACAUUGGUAGCAGAGAUGAGAGUAAUUGACGAUGACGGUAAGGGAGUCAUGGUCCCGAUGGACCUCAGCAAGUAUCAUGAUCCAUUAUAAUUCUACUCUUGUGAGUCGCGAUUAUCAUUGUGCAAUUAAUAAAAUGGCUUUGGCAGUUCAUUUUGGUUAGGAGCAUCUUCAAAGGCUGUGGUUGUUGAGGCAGAUCUUCAAAGGUAGAACAAUAGAGUCAAAAGCCUUACAGAAUUGAGCUAGUUGGUGAAGUUUGUGAUGGCUAUAUCUUACAGUUAUUAGAGGCAUUAGGUAAAUAUCAUUGUGAAUUAAUUCAACUAUAUUAGUAAUUAACAU